GAGGCCCCGCGGCAGGGUGCUCCAGCCCAGCCAGGCUCCUCCAGCCCCACCUCAGUUUCUCCUCCGGCUACCGUUGCCUGGGGGCCUAGGAAAGGUGGAAACCGCCCCAAACACGUAGAGAGCUAAAGAUCUGUGGAAUUUGUGGAAGCUGGUUUAAAGCUUGGUGAAGAAAGAUUUGGUGCAACCCUGAAGGAUUAUUAGACUUUGUGUCUAUCCCCAGGUCCAUACAGGAACGGGGGCUGCCGAGGAGUUUGAUUUGGAGGUUUCCAGUAUCUGCGUAGGAUCAGAUGUCCCACAGGGCCUUCUUUACCUGUGAGAUGUACACCCAAGCCUCAAUGCCUUCUGGUUUCACGUCAGUGUCAGGAGCGCUUGGGCUGUCUUAACAAAUUACCGCACACUUGGCAAAACAGAAAUGUAGUCUUGGAGGCCAGCACUCUGAAAUCUGUCAAGACCAUACUCCCUCUGAAGGCUCUUGGGAGAAUCCUUCCAGCUGCUGGUGGCUAUUGGCAUUCCUUGACUUGUGGCCAC